GAUGAACGCUGGCGGCGUGCCUAAUACAUGCAAGUCGAGCGAACGGACGAGAAGCUUGCUUUUCUGAUGUUAGCGGCGGACGGGUGAGUAACACGUGGAUAACCUACCUAUAAGACUGGGAUAACUUCGGGAAACCGGAGCUAAUACCGGAUAAUAUUUUGAACCGCAUGGUUCAUAAGUGAAAGACGGUCUUGCUGUCACUUAUAGAUGGAUCCGCGCUGCAUUAGCUAGUUGGUAAGGUAACGGCUUACCAAGGCAACGAUGCAUAGCCGACCUGAGAGGGUGAUCGGCCAAACUGGAACUGAGACACGGUCCAGACUCCUACGGGAGGCAGCAGUAGGGAAUCUUCCGCAAUGGGCGAAAGCCUGACGGAGCAACGCCGCGUGAGUGAUGAAGGUCUUCGGAUCGUAAAACUCUGUUAUUAGGGAAGAACAUAUGUGUAAGUAACUGUGCACAUCUUGACGGUACCUAAUCAGAAAGCCACGGCUAACUACGUG
rnacentral:rRNA from 1 species